rnacentral:misc_RNA from 1 species
GAUGAAGAACGUAGCGAAAUGCGAUAAGUAAUGUGAAUUGCAGAAUUCAGUGAAUCAUCGAAUCUUUGAACGCACCUUGCACCCUUUGGCAUUCCGAAGGGUAUGCUCGUUUGAGUGUCAUUGUACUCUCACACUCCCAAUUGCUUUGGAUUGGGAGCGGUGGACUUGGGUGUUGCUGCUUGACUGAGGCUCACCUGAAAUAUGUUAGUGCACCUCUUGAUUGGACAUAGUACGGCGUGAUAAGUGUCUUCGCCGGCUCCUCGCAACGAGGGUGGCCGAUCGGGAGCUCUGUUGCUUCAAACUGUCUUCGGACAAUCUUCUGGCGACUUGACCUCAAAUCGAGUAGGACUACCCGCUGAACUUAAGCAUAUCAAUAAGCGGAGGA